GUGCCAGCAGCCGCGGUAAGACAGAGGUGCCGAGCGUUAGGCGGAAUCACUGGGCUUAAAGCGUGUGUAGGCGGACCCGUCAGUGUCUUGUGAAAUCCCACGGCUCAACCGUGGAACGGCUGGGCAUACUGCGGGUCUUGAGACACCUAGGGGCGAGCGGAACAGGCGGUGGAGCGGUGAAAUGCGUAGAUAUCGCCUGGAACGCCGACGGUGAAAACAGCUCGCUGGGGGUGUUCUGACGCUGAGACACGAAAGCCAGGGGAGCGAACGGGAUUAGAUACCCCUGUAGUCC
rnacentral:rRNA from 1 species